AUUGAACGCUGGCGGCAUGCUUUACACAUGCAAGUCGAACGGCAGCACGGGUGCUUGCACCUGGUGGCGAGUGGCGAACGGGUGAGUAAUGCAUCGGAACGUGCCCAUGAGUGGGGAUAGCCCGGCGAAAGCCGGAUUAAUACCGCAUACGCCCGUUAGGGGGAAAGCGGGGGAUCUUCGGACCUCGCGCUAUUGGAGCGGCCGAUGUCGGAUUAGCUAGUAGGUGAGGUAAAGGCUCACCUAGGCGACGAUCCGUAGCUGGUCUGAGAGGAUGAUCAGCCACACUGGGACUGAGACACGGCCCAGACUCCUACGGGAGGCAGCAGUGGGGAAUUUUGGACAAUGGGCGCAAGCCUGAUCCAGCCAUGCCGCGUGAGUGAAGAAGGCCUUCGGGUUGUAAAGCUCUUUCAGGUGGAAAGAAAUAGCGCUGUUUAAUAGAUGGCGUUGAUGACGGUACCACCAGAAGAAGCACCGGCUAACUACGUG
rnacentral:rRNA from 1 species